CAGUCGCCGCGGUAAUACAGAGGGUGCAAGCGUUAAUCGGAAUUACUGGGCGUAAAGCGCGCGUAGGUGGUUUGUUAAGUUGGAUGUGAAAUCCCCGGGCUCAACCUGGGAACUGCAUUCAAAACUGACUGACUAGAGCAUGGUAGAGGGUGGUGGAAUUUCCUGUGUAGCGGUGAAAUGCGUAGAUAUAGGAAGGAACACCAGUGGCGAAGGCGACCACCUGGACUAAUACUGACACUGAGGUGCGAAAGCGUGGGGAGCAAACAGGAUUAGAGACCCCCGUAGUCCCUGUCUCUUAUAC
rnacentral:rRNA from 1 species